AUGUAUUCACUACGCCUAUCUUGGUCGCAGUUGAGAGAAGACCCUUUGCCAUCCCUUUCCCAGUUGGUGAAUUUGACAGUUCUUCAUUUCUUUAGAGCAUACAAUGGAGAGAAGCUGACGUUUCUCACGGGAUGGUUUCCCAACCUGAAGCAUCUCUCUCUAAGAGACAUGCCUGACCUGAAGCGGCUAGAGAUAAAGCAAGGUGCCAUGGCGACUCUGGAAUCAUUUACCUUAGGCAGCCUAAACAGCAUGGCGGAGGUCCCACCUGGCCUUGAGUUUCUCAUGCCCCUCCAGUAUCUAGGCUUCUUCCAAAUUACUCACGACUUCCUCAAGUUGUUUUACCAAUGUCCUUAA
rnacentral:rRNA from 1 species